rnacentral:rRNA from 1 species
GACGAACGCUGGCGGCGUGCUUAACACAUGCAAGUCGAACGGAAAGGCCCUGCGUUUGUGGGGUGCUCGAUUGGCGAACGGGGGAGUAACACGUGAGUAACCUGCCCUUGUCUUUGGGAUAACUUCAGGAAACUGGGGCUAAUACCGGAUAGGAGCUCCUGCUGCAUGGUGGGGGUUGGAAAGUUUCGGCGGUUGGGGAUGGACUCGCGGCUUAUCAGCUUGUUGGUGGGGUAGUGGCUUACCAAGGGUUUGACGGGUAGCCGACCUGAGAGGGUGACCGGCCACCUUGGGCCUGAGAGACGGACCAGACUCGUACGGGAGGCAGCAGUGGGGAAUAUUGCACAAUGGGCGGAAGCCUGAUGCAGCGACGCCGCGUGCGUGAUGACGGCCUUCGGGUUAUAAACCGCUUUCGCCUGUGACGAAGCGUGAGUGACGGUAAUGGGUAAAGAAGCACCGGCUAACUACGUG